rnacentral:rRNA from 1 species
GACGAAGGUGGCAAGCGUUGUUCGGAAUCACUGGGCAUAAAGAGCACGUAGGCGGCUAAGUAAGUCGGAUGUGAAAUACCUCGGCUCAACCGAGGAACUGCGUCCGAUACUGCUUGGCUUGAGGUCCGGAGGGGAGAGUGGAAUUCCCGGUGGAGCGGUGAAAUGCGUAGAGAUCGGGAAGAACGCCGGCGGCGAAAGCGACUCUCUGGUCGGAAUCUGACGCUGAGGUGCGAAAGCUAGGGGAGCAAAC